UUAGUAGUUAUCCAUUGUACACCCCUUUUGAGUCUACAAGUUUUUAGUAUUUAACCAUUCUAUACUUCCGUUUUUAGUAGUUAUCCCCCUUUUGAGUCUACAAGUUUUUAGUAGUUAACCAUUCCACACCUCUGCUUUUAGUAGUUAUCCAUUCUAUAUCCCUUUUGAGUCUACAAAAAACACUAACGUGCCUCUUUUAGAGAUGAGACAUGGUAGGCCAGGAAAUCUGAGAGAGAUAAAGACUGCAUAGAGAGAAAACCUAGAUUUCUAGCCGUCCUUGAAACAAACUUUUAGCCAAGGUUUGGUCAACCAAUCCAAUGUUUGGUCAAGUUUAAAGAGAGAACAACAUAUGACAUACAUACACAACUGUGGUUCUAAUACAGGCAAAGCCUCUGGUGCCUCGAACCAACUAGCCUAGCCAGGAGUUGACUGCAUGCACUUGAGUUACCACAAAUGUCCCAUCCCAAUUAGGUUUGAAUUUGCCUAACGGGUGUGGGAUUUGCAAGAGUAUGGAAGAUCUUCUUGAGUAUCAUGUCUCAUUCUCUAAAUUGUCGGGGAACAACUUUUCUUUGGUAUGCCCUCUCGAUUCUACGAUGGAACCCAUAGAUGGAGCCCAGCUACGCGCCAUGGAAGAAGCAAAAAAGAUGUAUAUAGUAGCCUUGGCUACUUUGAGUGAGAGUGAGCUUUCAUUUGGUGCUCAUCGGAUAUUAGAGUUGUUCGCUAUUAUUUUUGCUUAUAAUGUAAUUAGUGUUUAAUGUAAGAACCAAAUAAUUUUAAUUGGUUAUUAGUUGUACUUCGGUAUGUGCAACGAAGUUAUGCUCAUGGAUGAUAAAAUACAUCCUAAUAAAAUGUAUUAGUUGUCA